rnacentral:rRNA from 1 species
CAUAGCUCCUUGAAUAUAUAUAAGGAGUAAAGCCUGCCCAGUGGAGAUUACUCUCAACGGCCGCGGUAUCUUGACCGUGCAAAGGUAGCAUAAUCAUUUGUCUCUUAAAUAGGGACUAGAAUGAACGGCACCACAUCUCCUACCUGUCUCCUUUCCUUUACUUCUAAACUUCUAUUAACGUGAAGAAGCGUUAAUUUUCAAGAAAGACGAGAAGACCCUGUCGAGCUUCAGCUCUAAAGAAAAAUAUCUCAUCUAAAAGAAAAAAUUCUCUUUCUAAAAAGCUUUGGUUGGGGUAACCAUGGAGAACAAUUACCCUCCAGCAUAAACAAAGAUAUAUCAUCACCUAAAAACUUUGAACCAAUACAAUUGAAAAUCAGAAAAAGUUACCGCAGGGAUAACAGCGUUAUCUUCUUUAAGAGCCCUCAUUGACAAGAAGGAUUGCGACCUCGAUGUUGGAUUGGGGUAACCAAAGGGUGCAGCAGCUCUUAUCAGGUUGGACUGUUCGUCCACUAACCCCCCACAUGAUCU